rnacentral:tRNA from 1 species
GGGCCCGUCGUUCAACGGUAGUGACCGGUCUCUUAUAAAGACCUGACGGAGGUUCAACUCCUCCCGGGCCCA